rnacentral:rRNA from 2 species
AUCGGAGACAGGUGCUGCAUGGCUGUCGUCAGCUCGUGUCGUGAGAUGUUGGGUUAAGUCCCGCAACGAGCGCAACCCUCGCCCUUAGUUGCCAGCAUUCAGUUGGGCACUCUAAGGGGACUGCCGGUGAUAAGCCGAGAGGAAGGUGGGGAUGACGUCAAGUCCUCAUGGCCCUUACGGGCUGGGCUACACACGUGCUACAAUGGUGGUGACAGUGGGCAGCGAGACCGCGAGGUCGAGC